AUGGCCGCCCCGCAUGGCACCGUGCUCGGGGGAGCCGACUCGUUCUCCCAGCUCCCGCUCGUCCGAGUCGCCGCCCAGCAGCCGGCCGACUCCACCAUCCGCCUCUUCGGCUGCGACUUCUCCAACGACGCCGUCGCUGCCGGCGACCAGCUGCCCAAGGCGGACGCCGCGGCGGCGGCCGGGGAGGGGGAGACCCGCAAGUUCGAGUGCCACUACUGCUGCCGCAACUUCCCGACGUCGCAGGCGCUGGGAGGACACCAGAACGCGCACAAGCGGGAGCGGCAGCACGCGCGCCGGGCGCACCUCGAGGCCUCCCUCGCCGCCGCCUACCUCCCGGCCGGCGCGCACGUCUACGGUGCCCUGUUCGGCGGCUAUGACCACCACCAGGCCGCUCCGAUGCCGCCGCCGCAGUACCCGGUGUGGCCGGGGAUGUACGGCAGCGUGGCGCGGUCCGCGGCAUACGGCGGCAUGACCGUGCCGGGGAUGGUGUGGAGGCCGACGCCAGUGGGUGCUGAUGCUUUUGGUGCCGCCGGCCGGCACGAUGAAGCGACGGCGGCCGUUGCUGGCACCGGAGAGGUGCCUGGUAAGGAUGGGCACAAUGCGGUGAUGAGCGUGGUGGCGACGCUGCCGUCGUGCCUCACCGGCGGGUCGCCCACGGAGAUCGGUAGGUCCGAAAUGAUGGGGCAGAAGGAGGGCGUUGUAAGCUUGGACCUCUGUCUGUAG
rnacentral:rRNA from 1 species